GAUGAACGCUGGCGGCGUGCCUAAUACAUGCAAGUCGAGCGAACGGACGAGAAGCUUGCUUCUCUGAUGUUAGCGGCGGACGGGUGAGUAACACGUGGAUAACCUACCUAUAAGACUGGGAUAACUUCGGGAAACCGGAGCUAAUACCGGAUAAUAUUUUGAACCGCAUGGUUCAAAAGUGAAAGACGGUCUUGCUGUCACUUAUAGAUGGAUCCGCGCUGCAUUAGCUAGUUGGUAAGGUAACGGCUUACCAAGGCAACGAUGCAUAGCCGACCUGAGAGGGGGAUCGGCCACACUGGAACUGAGCCACGGUCCAGACUCCUACGGGAGGCAGCAGUAGGGAAUCUUCCGCAAUGGGCGAAAGCCUGACGGAGCAACGCCGCGUGAGUGAUGAAGGUCUUCGGAUCGUAAAACUCUGUUAUUAGGGAAGAACAUAUGUGUAAGUAACUGUGCACAUCUUGACGGUACCUAAUCAGAAAGCCACGGCUAACUACGUG
rnacentral:rRNA from 1 species